rnacentral:lncRNA from 1 species
GACAACAAGCAACCCCAGACUAGAGACAGGAUCCUUCUCCCCACUUCGAGCAGAUCCCAGCAUGAAUCCUGCAGUAUGGUGAUGGCAAAAGUCAGUGCAGGACCACUGGGACUCCUGGAGCUUCUCACAUCUCUGAGAGCACCAGCAGCAGUCCCCAGAUAGCAGAUGACUGGUAGGAAGAUGAGGCAAGUUUGCGGUCCAUUGUCAUGGAUAGUGGAGACAACACUGGGCCAGAAGUGGUAAGACCUGAAUCCAAGACUCAGCUCUGCCACUUGCUAAAUGGGACUUUGAAUAAACCAUUUCUCUGCACUUAAGUUCCUUACCAACAAAACGAGGGAAGUGGCCUACAUGCCUAGAUAUCAACAUUUCAUGUCACGUAGAGAUCUAGCAUCACAAGAAUCCAAGUCAUCCUCUGUUGCCUUUAAGACAAAAAGCAGAUCAGCAAGUUUUCAUAUUGCACUAUUUUCAAUGGCUGGA